GAAACGCUGCUCUUAAAGGGAAAGGGACGUGGGGGGAGGACGUAGCGUAGGCAAAGCGAGACGGGGGGGAGGCAAGCAACUCCUAAACUUCUGUACUUUUAUAAUAUGAUUAAUUCCUCUGGAUUGCAAGUUAAGGAGCUAUGUCAUUUUUAAAAAUAAAAUAAAAUAACAUCUUUUUGUGCUCCGGACUUGCAAACUUCCGAAAAAAUUGUGAUUUUUUUUUUAAGGGAGGAGGCGACAUAGGAUGGAUAAGGAAUCCCCCCGCCGGUCUAAUAGGGAGAAGCGAGUGUAAGCUAGUGAAUGUGCGUGCGUAUUUCUCGCGCUAGGGAAAGUCUAGAGCUCUUCCACGCGGCUUUUUUUUUUCUAAGUGACAUCAGCCUGAAGAUUAUUAAUCCCCCCACUCCACAACCUCCAACAAUUAAAAGGAACAAGCAAAACUUUGCGCCUGGAAACCUGGAUUUGGCAACAGAUAUCCCCUCUGGCAAUGGAAUUCCCAAGGAUGGUUCUAAUGGAAAUUGCCAAGUGACAGUGCCACAUGGUUUCUAGAAAAACGGAAGAAAGCAAGCACAAAGAACUGUUGACAGACUUGCCCAGGGGAGCAUUUUCUCCACAUGGUAUAGAAAUCUGUCCCACCUUCAUAUGCAGAAGGUAAAGUUUGCAUAGGUUACACAUCUUUGUGCAUGUGUGUAUGUAGAGGAGAAAGAUUGCAUGAAUCAAAUCUGUGGACCUUAUAGGCAUAUGCAAAGAACACAUGAGGCCCAUGCAGAAUCCAUGGUAAUGAAGGCAUGGGGAGAAGGGAUUGUGCCUUUUGCGCAAGUUCCUGGUGAGCACGUAUUUGUCCGAAAGCCUGACUGCUGCACCAAAUGCACACAAGCUCUCUCUGAGCAAUCAAGAACCUUGCAGAAGGCAGUGCCCUCAGUUGCACAUUAUGUGGAUGCAGGAGGUGUGCUCCCAUCUACCUCACAUGCAUAAGAACAUAAGAAGAAUCUGCUGGACCAGGCCAAUGACUAGUCUAGUCCACCAUCCUGUUCUCACAGUGGCCUGUGGGAAAUCAGUAAGCAGGACCUGAUUAGGUGACCUUGGGUUGGUCACUACCUUCUGUUUAACCUACCUCAUAGGGUUGUUGUAUGGGUGAAAAAUAAAUGGGAGGGAAGAACCAUGUACACUGCUUUGAGCUCAUUAAAGGAAAUGUGGCACAUCACUGUGAUCCACAAAUAAAAGGAAAAGAGCCUUCAACAAUGAGCUUAUUGUUCAUUGGUGUGAAGGAUGUUAACACAAGAGUUUCCCUAGUUUCUUAAGUAAAAUACCCAUUGAGCACAGAGGGAUUUAUUUCAAUGUAAACAUGCAGUGCAUCAGGCUCCCUAAGACCAGAAGAAGAGUUCUGCUGGAUCAGGCCAAAGCCCAUUUAGUCUAACACCCUGUUCUCAAAGCGGCCAGUCAGAAGCCACAAUGGGAAAGCCCACAAGCAGGACCGAGGGCAGCACUCCCAUGGUUCCCAGCAACUGGUUUUCAGAGGCAUACUGCCUCCAACACAGUAGGUAGAACAUAGCCUGGAGGCUAGUAACCAUUGAUAGCUUGAGUGUGAGAGGAUAUCAAAAGGCAGAUCAAGGGAAGGACCUUCGAUCUGGAUGAGGAAGAAAAGCAAAGAAGAGAAGAGAAGAAAAAGGAAGGCAUGGUGUACGUGUGUGUGUGUGUGUGUGUGUGUGUGUGUGUGUGUGUGUGUGUGUGUUCUUCCAAAGUACUUGGCCCACCCAGACAAUUCCCCAUGUCUAGUUUCCUCUGCUAACAAACUAACAAACUCCAAAUGACCCCAUUUAAAUUCUGAGGGGUCUUUGGCAAAACACACACAGCCAUUUUGCGCCCAUCUUGUUUGCCCACCACGAGGAUCCCAGAGCAUAAUCCAUCUUUAAAUAUUAUGGGUCUAAUUUGACUGAGCAAUAUUUGUUCGCGCGUUGGCAGCUAAUGUAAGGAAAACAAAAAAAGGGGAAUCCCGGGAGUUGUACAGUUGGGAUCUGUGUGGCCGCAUUAACCUCGAGUCGCUUCCUGUAGUGGAGUCGGAGCUUAGGACUCAAGUGGCGCUUGACAGAUGUGUGUUAAAAAUGGAUAAACUAGGAAGGGAAGGUUUUGAAUUCUCGACACUCAUCUUAACCUUACGCUACUAGUAAAUCACAGUGUUCCAGAGGCCUCGUUUCAGAUAUCGCCUUACAAUAUAUUUUGCAUCUUUCUCCCCCCGCCCUCCACCCACUAAAAUGGAGCGUCAUGAUGAAUGGACACAGCAGGGUUUGGUGCGAUGUCUCAGUGAUCACAACUGUACAGGUUAGUGGCUGAACUCCACAAUUUAAUUUCUCCCAGGCUUUCAUUUUAGUCCUGUUUGAAACCAGAAAGAAAAGCCACCCCCACAAAAACAGCAUUUUUUUCUCCCAGCACAGUGUAUGAAGGGUGCAAUUUCACAUCUUAGGAGUUCUUAUCAAAUUUCAAAGGUGCUUUGGAUGUAGUCAAAAUUAAAUGCCUUCAAAGCAGUAUAUUUUAAUUCCCCUGCUUCAUAUUUCAUCAUAGGCAUUCAUUCCUUGGUUGCAGUCCCUUAUCUGAAGUGCUGGCCUACCUUACAGUGUUGCUGUUCAGAACAAAAACAAGAAUAAUCAUGUACAGCAGAAUCUUGUGCAUUUUUUACUUACAUGCAAGUCUCAUUGUGUCCAGUUGGGCUUACUCCCAGAUUGGUGGGCAGGUAACUCUAAGACUAGUGUUUUAGAUUGCAAGGUGGUGGCAAUUUAAAACACUGCAGUUGUUUCAAAACUGCAGUUGAAAACUGCAAUUGAUGUGUUCAGUGGCAAAUUCAUCCUUUUGCAGCAACCCAGUAUCUGAUGGCUUCAUACUACUACCGGUACCCCCAUAUUACAGAGGAGAAGUUCAGAAUGAGACAGAACGGUUUGCUACUUAAGGCCUCGCAAAUUAGAUAAUGCCCGUGUACACUCAGUAAUAAAGACUUCUUGACUCUCAGCUCUCAUUUGAACCCUGGCCACUUCACUCUAUGUCUAACCCUCUGCCCAUUAGGCCACAUUGUUUCAGUUUUAGAAACUUAAUGUUUCCCAAGUAUUGUUCAAGUUAGGGAAAAGCAUCGUCACACUUGAGUGGAGAAAAAGCUGGCAGGAGUUGCUAAUUAAAUGGACAGAGAGAAUUAAUUAUUUCUUUCUUUUUUCUUUUUUAAAAGAGUACAAUCUAGUCUCCCAUUUUCACUUCUAGUGGAACCUUCAGUGAAGGCGUCUCCAAGUCUCCGGUGAUGCCCAAGAGUGUUUAGAUGGAGGGUCUAGAUGGAGACACCUAUUGAAAUGUGUCUGAAGAAGAUUAAUAGGACUUGUCAGUGUUGGGAAAAGCGCUGCUUUGCGCUUCUUCAACAGAGAACAAAUCAACAUUCUUCACUGAGGUUCUGGCAAGGACAAUGAUGUUAGUUCACAGAAACAGCAGAAGCAGUGGCAAAAGUCUUCUUGAACUCUAUCGCUUUGGACUGCAAGUGGAGCGGGAGUCCUAUUUUUGAAUGCCCCUUUGCACUUAAAUCCCCCCCCCCAAGUGAUAAACUUGCAUGUCCCAUUAUGACGUCAGAAGCCAUUCUCAGAGGAGGAAAACCAAAACAAAUCUCUGCUUGUCUGCAUCCCCAGACCUGGAAAUUUUGUCUGGCGAGAUGGAUAGAAAAACAAAUUUCCAAAACCACAGCCUUAAGAAAGUUCAGUGGCUACGGACUUCAGACAUGCAUGUUGAGGAACAUCAGAGGCACAAUUCAUACCUUGGAGCACUUUUCCAUUAUCAAAUGGGAUUCCCACUCCAGCAACUUGAAAACACGCAUGUCUCCUUGGAGAAUUUCUCAAAGAUGCGGUGCGUAUGGCCUGAAGAGCUCAUAUUUCUAAUCCUCUUCAGAAUGGUUUUAUUUUUUAGGGGGGCGGUGAGGGGUGGUGGAAAUGAAAAACAGCAGCUCAUACUAGAAAGGAGAUGGAGAGGAAGGCAAAGAAUCCUCGGCUGGAGAGCUGAGAAAGUGUGGCAAAAGUCAAACAAUCUUGUAUGAGAUGAAAGUGGUUACAGACAGCAGAAAUGGCGUUUCCUCGGGGGGGGGGAAGCGACACUGAAAAUUCGUUGUUCAAAGUUCUUAUGUUUCAUCCGAACAAAUUCCAUUACAUUAGGAAGAUUAGGGGAAAAAAAUUGCAUUCUGUUUCCUUGGGCUGUGAAAAUGUAAGAGAAAUUCAUUGAGGAAGGGGGGAAGAGAUGUGAUAUUUUCCUUCUCAGUAUUAGAAGGACCCCAAUAUUUGCACCUAGUGCAGCAAAGAAAUGGGGGACGUGGGGUUGCAUAAGGAAACCAGGAAUGUUUUGAAGUCCGUGUUCUCUAUAGACCACAUUUUACAUGAACAAGAAUGAAAUGGAGAGACAUGGGCAGGAUUAUGAGCUACUGUUGAAAGAUUAUUAUUCUGAGCAAUUGAUCUUAUUUUUGGAAAGGGUUUCAGGCAAAAAGGAAAAGGGGGGAAAAGGAAAAAAAUGCUGCUGGGGGCUGAAUUCUGAGUAUUUUGCCACUAGUCAUAUUUUUAGGGAACAUUUUCAAGAAUGCACAUCUCCUUUUUGUAAUGAUUUUUUUGGGGCACUGUUGCAGCAAGCAAGCAAGCAAGCAAGCAAGCAAGCAAACAAACAAACAAACAAACAAACAAACACAACAUCCCACAUUCAUCUGUAUUCCCCACAUUUGUUUUUGCCCCCAAAUGACUUCAUUUGCCACAUAGCUACGGUAAGUCCCAUUGGCUUUGUGGCACAGUGAUGUUCUCUGUGUUCCCUGAUUGGUUGGAAUCACUUAUAUGACUAAUCCAAGAAGGUGAAAGAUGCAGCAAUGAGAGGGGAAAUAGCCACAAGCAACAGCCAGGGGAAAUAGCCACAACAAAGAAGAUAAAAAGAUGUGGCUUCUUUUUUUGAGGGGAAAGGCAUCAUAGCAUGUCUUCAAAAUAAUUAUAUAGAAUACAAAAUCAUUGUGUAGAAACCAUAGAAUUCAGUUUUAGCACACUCUUAAUCAUAGCUGCCAAGUUUUCCCUUUUCUCACGAGGAAGCCUAUUCAGCAUAAGGGAAUUUCCCUUAAAAAAGGGAUAACUUGGCAGCUAUGCUCUUAAUUACUACAAACAAACAAUAUGCUUGGCAACUAACUGAUUGGAUUCCAUUCCAAACUUGCCUGAUGGAUUAACUGAUCGGAUAACAAAAUCCAUUCACUGGCAGUUUGGUUGGAGCUGGAAAGCACUUAGAAUGGGCAUUGUAGUGGUACUGAGAGGUCAGAAAGAGAUGGAACCAAGUGGUCUUCACUGAAGGAUGGCCAGUGAGGAAUCUGACCUGUUGGCUCUAGACAAGGGGAGGGUCCAAACAUCAGUGGCAAAUCAUGCAGACAGUCCUAAGACUAGAUCUCUGGCCUCUCCCAUUUUUAAAGAGUCUCAAGUGGUAGAGGUGAGGAAGAUCUCUCUCUGCUUGAAAUCCUGGAGAGCUGCAGCUGCUCAACAAAAUACUGGCCUAGAUGGACCAGGACAGCUCCAUGUAAGGGAUAACUACUGGCACCCCUGAUUUCAGUCAUACAUUAGUUGGGAAGCACUUUCAUAUGGACAAGAAGAUGCAAGAGUGCCAGUUUUAGACUUCUGUCCCAGAUCCUUGAAACCAACGCACAAUGACUAUAGCUGCAAUAACUCUCCCCCUGACUGAGCUGUCCACAGCACACUCAGCAUCGUAAUCAUGCAAAUUAAAUACAAAUUUUAAAAAUUGCCCCCAUUAAAAUGAUCUAUUAAUGUUGUAAGGCUCCAACACUUAUGGAGAACAGUUCUAAUUGCCUGAUCUUGCUAUUGGCACAUCUUAAAAGACCUGGCAGAUCUUGAAGAUAUUUACACCUCUGGGAUUAAUUUCAUUGUAAGGAAUUAACUUUUGGCAAAGCUUGGUUGCUGCCACUAGGAGGGGAAAAAAAGGUUGAUAACAUCUGCUUUUUAAAACUGUUAUAUUGCUGGAGAAGACGAAAAGCGCUGUGCAAAUUGCCUGAAUAAAAAAGUAAGAAUGUGCCACUUCCCUCACACAUAUAUUGCUUUUAAAAAUAUAGUUGAACUGCAACCAAAAAAACUAGCUGGUUAGACCAAAUCAGUCUGUAAAGUUCAGCCUCACCUUCUCUCUCACUGCAGCUGAUCUGCAAACAUGCCAAUGGCUUCUGUGACAUCACAGCUUUUUAGCCAAUCAGUGUGAAAGAACUAAAUCCAGAGUCAUAGCUUGGCAUGUGUCCUUUGAUUAAGCACUGGGACCACUAACUUUCAAUAGAUUAUUUCUGCAAAACUGCAACCAACAGAGAAGGGGUCAUAGCUCAAUGGUAGCACGCAUGCUUUUCACUCAAAAUACCCCAGGUUCAGUCUCCAGAUGGCACAGGUAAUGUUCCCUGGAGAGGUGCUGCAAGUCAGCAAAGACAAUGUUGAACUGGCAUAGCAUCGAGCCACUACAGUGUAGUGACUAAGAAGCUGGGCUAUGAAAGAUGAAGCCUUCAAUUCAAGUCUUGCCUCUACCACAAACCCUCUCAGAAGCUCCUCUCUCUUGGUCUCUGUCACCGCCCCCCCCCUAAUUUGUAAUAUGUCCUGGAGGGAGAUAAUACGGAUCUUACAUGUGACAGUGGUGGGGAGCCUGUGGGCCUCCAGAUAUUGAGUGGACUCCAAUUCCCAUCAGUCUAACCCAAUUAUGCACCUGCAGGGUGGCUGGUUCCUUAUCACUGUCUGAAGAGGCAAGGAUUACAACAAGACCAUGCAUAGGAAGUGCUUUGAAGCCUUGGAAGUGCUGCACCAAUGCUAAAUCUUAUCAAGCUUGAUCAAGCAUCCAGAACCUUUUCCAGCCUGGGGGCCAUUUUCACUGCUAGGCAAACUUCCCCCCCCUGGGGGGUGGGCUGCUGCUGCUGCAUGUCAGCGGUGGGUGGGGCCAGAAACAAAUGUGAGGGGAAUAACAGGUGUUACUGGUAUAUCUGUACAGCAAGUUAAUUUCUACACACACAAUCACACACUGCCAUCCGUCCAGGCAAGCAAGAGGCAUGAUUAGACUUCAGUGGCACAUUCCAGCCAAGCCAAAAAUGCUCAAGGAGAGUGUUGGGGUGGAAAGGGGUGUGGCCUGGGGAGAUUCUUAUGGGCCAGGGAGAGAGGUCUAGAGUGCCACAUUCAGUCUCUGGUCAUGACAGGGGCGUAGGAGGUUAGGGGCGGUGGGGGCAGCGUGCCACGAGCGACGUGAUCCCAGGAGCGCCAUCAAUGCUGCCCGCCCCACCCCCAGAACGUGCACUACAUUACUGCGCACAGUGCGCCCCGCCCCCAAAACAUGUGCCCCGCCAGGCUGCCACUGCGCACGGCAUGCCCCGCCCCCAAAAUGUGUGCCCUGCCCCCAGAACGUGUGCCACAUCACUGGGGGCAGCGCGUCUGCUCUCCGCCCCCAGUGGCGGAGCAUGAAGUUCCACCGCUGGGUCAUGAGGUUCCCUGUCCUUGAGGUAGAUGGAACAAUGGGAAGAUAUAGUAUGUUUGAGUCCUAAGAUCACAUAUCCUACAAAAGGCCUCAUUUACUUAUUUAGCUCGGACCAGCAAGAAAACUGCAUUGCAAAGCCUGCUGCCCUGUUGCCCUCCUCCAGCACCUGACUUGCCCAUCCUGAUUUGCAGCAUAUCUUGCUGCUCCUAGCGUGAUUUCCUCCCCCUUCCUGCCCCCUGAGCAGAAACUGGAGCAAAGUUUAGCAGAAAUGCAUGUCAUUGAAUGGAGCUGAAAAGAAGGAAGAGGCAAGUGAUAAGAUCAGAGCCUGCAGCGCCUUGUUUAUGAGAACAUCCUCUGUGUAAUAUAUGUCUGGACUAGGUGAAAGGAUGGUGUCACCCCCCAACAUAUUUUAAAUGCUGCGACUGUCAGGCAAAAAGACAAUGGUGUACAAGUCUAUACAAAACAUGCACACACAAAAAUAUGGCACACAGCAAGGAGAGUUUUCACAAGUGAAGCUCCUGCUUCUGUGGAGUUUGCAAUGCAAAACUUAAAAAUGAAGAUGGCAUUGGUUAAAAUGUUUAUUUGCAUUAUGAAUAGCCAGUCUCUUUGCUUUUCCUUCUGUGAUGAAACAACACUUCGAGACUGGUGAAAAGGCGACUUCAUAUGCGAAAACACCUUUAUAGGGUCAGAACCCCACCAUACAUUUAAAGCACUAUUAUACCACCUGAACAACCAUGGCUUCUCCCAGAGAAUCCUGUGACCUGUAGUUUGUUAAGAGUUGCCAUCACCUUGCCAACAAAGGUCCAUUUAGUUAAAGCUAUGGUUUUCCCAGUAGUGAUGUAUGGAAGUGAGAGCUGGACCAUAAAGAAGGCUGAUCGCCGAAGAAUUGAUGCUUUUGAAUUAUGGUGCUGGAGGAGACUCUUGAGAGUCCUAUGGACUGCAAGAAGAUCAAACCUAUCCAUUCUGAAGGAAAUCAGCCCCGAGUGCUCACUGGAAGGACAGAUCCUGAAGCUGAGGCUCCAAUACUUUGGCCACCUCACGAGAAGAGAAGACUCCCUGGAAAAGAAUCUGAUGUUGGAAAAGAUUGAGGGCACUAGGAGAAGGGAACGACAGAGGACGAGAUGGUUGGACAGUGUCCUCGAAGCUACGAACAUGAGUUUGACCAAACUGUGGGAGGCAGUGGAAGACAGGAGUGCCUGGCGUGCUCUGGUCCAUGGGGUCACGAAGAGUCGGACACGAAUAAAUGACUAAACAACAACAACAACAACAACAACAACAACAACAACUCAUAACAACCCUUAACAAUCUUAACAAACAGUUGCCAUGUGUAUUUUAAUUUGCUGUCCUUGUCUGCUCAGUGCAGACAAUGGAAGAUUCUUCUCCACAUCUCCCCACUCUUAGAACUCCCUAGCAAGGCUGGUGCCAGCAACCAGCAUCCUUUGGUAAUUUCCAGGUCCCAGCAGUCAGGCUCCUGACAAGGCUUGUCUUGCCCUCUCCUCAAUUGCCCCACCCCCUGACCAGGAAGAUGUGCCAUGUGGCUAGAUUUAGCCACCCUUAUAAUUUCCUGCACCUAUGUGCAACUAUGUGCAGCAAUGUGGGGAAUUUAAAGAGUGGCUAUUGCUGGCCACUCAGCACUGCUUUGAGUCAGGUAAGCCAAACCAGACCCACUGAGAACCUCAGCUGAGUUUCUGUAAACCACAGGAGGGGUGGCGGCGGUGCUCUCGUGCUCAGUUCCUGCUUGUGGAUUUCCCAUAGGCAUCUGGUUGGCUGCUGUGAGAACAGGAUGUUGGACUAGAUGGGCCACUGGCCUGAUCCAGCAGGCUCUUUUGACAUUCUUAUGAUGGGCGCUGCCAGAUGAUGCAUCGUCCAGGGCCCUCUCAAAUCUGGAACCCUUCCCCCCUCCCCCCUCUAGGGUUUUGUCUGGGAGGCCCAUUUCAUGGUGGAAAAACUGUGAGGUUAGCUAAUGCAAAGUUCUUUGAAGGAUGUGCUUUCAAUUUCCAGGUCUCCCUUCAACCCUUUCCUCCAAAAAUAAAAGAACAGGAUUCCUGAAGCAGAGCAUAGGGUCUCUGAGGGGAAACAUACACCCUUACCAGCUUAAUUUAAAGACCCACAGCAAGGCUCCCUGGCUCUUUCAGGAAGAUCUUUGCUUUACACUUAGUAAAGUCACCACACAAAGCAGCCCGUUACUUAUGCAUUCUCUCUCCCUGUCCCCCCCCCCAUCGCCUCCUUCCCCAUACACAAGAAGGUGAAAAUAAUAGAAUAAACAUCAUAUACUUCAUUAUGAUAUCGGUUUACACUUCUAGCGCGCACAGAAAGAGGCCAUUUCAUCAAGCUAAUUGCCUGAAAGUAAAAGAGAGGGAACUUUGGCUAUUAGUCUAUUAUGGGGCUUUUUUCUUAAUCACAAAUAGGGGGCUGUGGAUCCCCAGGGAGGAUGUGUAUUUCUAAUUUACAAUUGAACCACAGAUCCAAGCAAUCAAUCUUGGGCAGCACUUUUACAGUAUAAUUGCUGCAACAUCACAAAUAAGAGAGAGUCAACGCCGAGUUUCAGCUUAGAGGUAGAGGAUUUUUACUAGGCAUUGGUUUAGGUUGGGGAGGGGGGAACAGAGAGUCACACACAUACACACAGACUCCACAGCCAUGAAUAUGCAAUGAGGGCUCAUUAGUGCCCUUGUGUUGCCAUGACGAAUGGCAUUAUCCCCAGACCGGUGCGGCCUAAACAUGAAUUUUAUAACGACCCAUUUAUCAUGACUUGUCAUGGGCUUCUUUACUGUAUCUUCCAGUAGCUUCUGAACCCAUCUUCACUUUGACGUCAGAAUUCUCCCUCCGCUCUUCUGCUGUUGACUCGAUUAUGGGCUCCUAGUUCUCUUUAAACGGUGAAUGCUGAUAUAAAAAUACAUGCAAGGUCAGCAAGAUGCUUCCGCAAUAGUAGAACUCACGGAGCAGGUGGUCUCUGGGUCAGGAGGAGAGGUGUGCUUGUCCAGAGUUGUGGCAGGGUGGGGGUCAAAGAUCCAUUACUAUUUCUGCAGCAGGGUUCUUGUCUCAAGCAUGCUAGAGCUGCCCAAUCAGCAUGAAAGGAGAGGGUUUUAGCUACUGAGAAUAAGCCUUCUCACCCUUUGUGCUGAUCAGAGCCAAUCAGAGUGAAAGGAGGUGAGUCGGCCACUGAGGAUUGGCGCCCAGCGUCAUUCUGAAGAAUGAAAGAACAUUGAGGGAAGAACAUUAGAAUCCAACAGUGAAGCUGGAUGGUGGGAAAUUCAGGCCUGACAAAAAGUACUUCUUGAUAUAGUGCAUAGUGAAAUUAUGGCAUUUGCCACCCAAGCCCUGCCAUUGCUGGCCAGUGGUUAGGAUUGCAGCCUAAUAGGAUCUAUGAAAUGCUUCGAAGAGUUCAGAGGUGGCGAGUAGUAAUAAUGUAUGAAAUGGCAGCUUUAAGAUGGCAGCUGCUUCUCUGCCACUUUUCUCCAGGGUUGCUCCACUGGCAAUUCCAAGGUGUUGAUCAGAGGAAAGAAGAAGAAGAAGAAGAAGAAGAAGAAGAAGAAGAAGAAGAAGAAGAAGAAGAAGAAGAAGAAGAAGAAGAAGAAGAAGAAGGGGAGUUUGGAAUUGAUAUUCCGCUUUAUCACUAUCCAAAGGAGUCUCAAAGCGGCUAACAUUCUCCUUUCCCUUCCUCCGCCACAACAAACACUCUGUGAGGUGAGUGGGGCUGAGAGACUUCAGAGAAGUGUGACUAGCCCAAGGUCACCCAGCAGCUGCAUGUGGCGGAGCGGGGAAGCAAACCCUGGCUACCGCUCUUAACCACUACCCCACACUGGCUCUCAACACAUAAAUAAGAAGAAGAGAAAGGAAGUAAACAAGAAAGUGUCCAUGGGACAUUCCAACUUCAGGCUUGGAAGCAAAUGGAAGAGGUUUAGAGCAAACAAUUUGCUAUAGAACGUUAUGUAAGAUUUUAGAUUCCUGGGACAGUAAGAUAAAUAAAGAAUUCAAUCUCGAUAUCCUGCUGGUAAAACUUGCCAGCUAGCUAUGCACAGCUUGAUAUGCUAGUGUUCUCUCUUUCCUCACCCCCUAAAAAAAGUUACAAUCUCCUUUUGCAUAUUUUCUUUCCCUUAACAAACAGGAUGGAGCAGGCAAACUAUAUCUCUGUUUGUCCCACACUGGGUCCUUGCAAGCUGUUCUUAAAAAAAAAAUUCAAAUGAUUUCAGCUGCCCAAUUUGAGAGAAGUUAGCACUUUGCUAAUUACAACCCGACUUAAAAUAAGCAAGGCAAGCAAGCCCUCUUUGCCUUCUCUGCCACCGCUGUCUUUACUGACAUCUUCAGUCAUUAAUGAGUUAAUAAGAAUCUCGGCCUCAUCUGCGGAAAGAUAAGGCCAGAAAGAAAGAAGAGCAUUGUACACAUAAUGACAGGUUCCCUGUUGCCUCCUAAGAUGCUAUGGGUCAGCCAUGUUAAGAAUGUGUGUGUCCAAUCAUCUGCUGAUGUUUAUCAGAGAGGCCUGGAGCGCAACCUGACACAGGGCAGUUGGGGAGUUACAAUGAAUAAAGAAUGGCUCCCCUGGCUUGUUGGCGGCUGUGUGAGAGCGCAAGGGGAGGGCGAGGAGGGGUGAGCUAUAUAUACUAAAACACGAUGACACGAGCAAUCAGUAAAGCAAUUACAAGACAAGUUAUUGGAUGGAGAUGGCGCAAGGCUUCUGGGGCACUUUGAACGUGGGAUCUGGGGCGGUCCAGCUCGCCACAAGAGGAGGGCUUAACUCUUCAAGCACCUGGACGCAUGUCUAACCCUACAAGUCACAGCGGCAGCAAGGGGGAAAUGACGGACAUGGCAUUGCCUGGAAGUGUUGGGUGUUGAUCCAGCACUGUGUAACUUGUGGGGUCCAAGUCUGAAUACAGCUGCAACUCUUGGGGAUUAGGAACCAGGGCAGGCUCAAGGUUGCUGUAUUAAUUCACAGAGCCCUGAACAACUUGGGACCAAAUUAGCUUAAGGGCCACCUGAUUCUUUAUGCUCCACCUCAAUCACCGAGACCCUCCGAAGGGGCACUUUGGGUGGUCCCCCAUGUCCCUGAGGGUUGGUUGACCUUUACCAAGAGCUGAGCCUUUAGUGUGCCUUUGGAACUCCUUGUCAAUAGAAAGCUGGCAGGAGUCAUCCCUACUUUCUUUUAAAAUCUGUAUUUUUUCAGACCGGCCUUUGACCCACGAUCAUUUCUUUACCAACCAGUUUUUCUUCUUUUCUUUACCAACCAGUUCUUACUGAUAUCAUUGCAGUUUUGUGGAUUUUUUUUUUAAAAAAAUACUCUGCCUUCUUGUAUUUCCUAUGAAAAUGCAGUUGAUAAAUAUUUGAACAAAUAAAAUAAACCUAGUAAUGUAGGAAGUUGCCCUCUACCAAGCCAGACCAUUCCUCCAUUUAGCUCAGUAUUGGCUGCACAGACAUAUGUCCGUAUCAUGAGACGUGGUUUGCAAAUUCUGAAAUAUAGCUGGUUGUUUCCUGUUUUCUAUCAUUGCACAAAGAUUGAUGCUGCAGAAUUUAGCGCCCCCCUCCCUCCUGGUCAAUUUUAUAGCCCUUAUGGCUGUUCACAGAGAUUUGUAAUAAAGUGCGGCCAUCAUGCAUGCACUCAUUACAUAUCAUAGAUUAUGAUCUCACUCUCUAACUAGGUGAACCUAAGGGGAUUUUGUUUAUGACACCCCUGUUGAUUGAAAAUGAACAAAACCAAUACAUGUUGACUCAUGACAAUGGGUGUCAUGUUACUUCCUGCUGCACAUGUUCUUCAGACUUAUAGAGGUUACUGGUUUAAGUGAGUCAGUGUUAGGUUGGGGCUAUGUUAGCUGUAUAAACCAGAGUUGGGAAACUUCAGCCCCAGGGGGUCAAAUAUGGCCCUCCAGGUUUCUCUGUUUCUCUCUUGGGGUCCUCCCCAGACAUAUCCCGGUUCUACCUGGAUGAAGGUGGGAAUAUGUGUGUGUAUCCUACUAUACAAAGCUAAGAGUCACAACUGUCACUUUUCCUCUGAACCGCCCACUUUUGCCUUUUAUUCUGCACACUACUGGCAUGUGGCUCCUGAAAGAUUGUCAGCAAGGGAAUUUGGCCCCCAGGCUGAAAAAUGUUCCUCACCUUUAAUAUAAAUAAAAGUAAAACGACUAAAACUGGUAAUAAUAUGAGUGUGGUCAAAGUCUGAAUAAUCAAAAAACCUGGGGUAGGAGGUGGGACGGGGACGGGGGGCUCAGUAGGAAUUUUAAAUAAAGGCUGUUUGCUUUAGAGCUAAGAGACUUCUUCAAAGGCUUUCUCCCCACACCCAUAGAUUUAAAAAAAUCGUCUGAGCAUUUAAAAGUGCAUUUCUCUUGCAUAUUCCUAACACAUGCUUUCCUUAAACAUAAAUCCUGCACCGACCUAGGACUGACUGUUCAUUAAAUAACAAGCAGGGUUGUGGGUUGGUUUCUUUCUUUUUCUUUUUUUAAAAAAAUCCAACAGUUUAAGAACUCCUUCUUCUUUAAUUUGAAAAUUAACUUGUUGCCUAAAGGUAACACUUCUCCGUUGACAAAAUAAUGGUAAGAGAUUGACCUUUUCAUGAAUGGAUUACAGGCAAGAAAUAAUAUACUUUGUCACAGAGCAUUAACUGUGCCUGUUGAAAAGGUAAAGACUGUGUACAGAGCUUACGAUGUCAGUGGCUCCCUUAAAAAUAUUAAUUAUGUCAGUUAAAACACUUGAAGUCGUUGAGUCGGUGUCACAUCCUGACGACUGGCAUCUCUUAAAUUCUCCUGCUUACAUCUCCAUCUCAAAGAAAACAAAAGUAGUCAUUGGGGGCAGGGGAGGGAGGAAGAGAAUCCCCCUUUCUGUUCCUGAACCCACGAGCCUGCUGGAAUAUGGACAGCAAAUGUGGAAUUCUUCUAAGGAGGCGGGGGAGAGAAUUUAGUCCUGAUUCGUGAUGGGUAUCAUGUUACCUUCAGCUGCACAUGUUCUUAAGACUUAUGCUGUUAUUGGUUGAAGUGGGGGGUUAUUUUCUGUACCAGGUUAGAUCUUCAAAUUGCUUAUUUGAAUGCAGAAUCUGGGCCCCUUUGGACCACAUUUGAUUUUUUGUUUGUUUGUGCAUGUAACAGGCUAUGCUUUAUUUAUUUAUUCUGAUUUAGAAAGAUUUAUAAACUCCCUAAUCAAACAGCUCUCUAAGCUGUGCACACAAUAAAACUGCAGAUAAGACACAACUAAAAGCCACAAAACUAUUAAAAAAACAAAUACAAGUAAGACAAUUAUAAUUAAAGCACAGAUAAAAUCAGUAAAACUUUUAGAACCAAGAUAGGUAACUGAAUUAUAUGUUCCGGGUUGGCUUGCAUCUAAAACCACUUAGUGAGGCUGCCUGCUUAAUGUCAAAGGACUCUGAAAGACCUCCUGCCCCGUGUAGAUCUCAUUUAUUUAUUUAAUACCCGGCUCUUCCUCCACAAAGAGCCCAGGGCAGCAAACAGAAACACAAGUUAAAAACAACAAAAAAAGCUAAAACAUUUAAAACAUUCAAAAAACAAUUGCAAUUAAAAGCAUCUAAAAGCAGUUUCUGGUUUUUUUUAAUAAAAUUAUUCCAUUCAGCGGUCACAGGGCUGGCCAGAACAGUCACCAAGUGCAAGCGUGAACAGGAAUGUUUUCAAAUUCCUCCUGAAAGUUAAUGAUGAUGGAGACAGGCACACCUCGCUGGGGAGGGCAUUCCACAAAUGGGGAAACCAGAGAAGAACACUGGGAUCAGUUGGAGAAAUUCUGAUUUUGGCACUGCGCCCUACAUAGGGUGGUAACUGGAAAAAGUCAUUUUCUAGUAUUGACACAAUAUACUACAAAAUGCCCUGUUGUUGUUGUUUAGUCGUUUAGUCGUGUCCAACUCUUCGUGACCCCAUGGACCAUAGCACGCCAGGCACUCCUGUCUUGCCGCAGUUUGGUCAGACUCAUGUUCGUAGCUUCGAGAACACUGUCCAACCAUCUCAUCCUCUGUCGUCCCCUUCUCCUUGUGCCCUCAAUCUUUUCCAACAUCAGGAUCUUUUCCAGGGAGUCUUCUCUUCUCAUGAGAUGGCCAAAUAUUGGAGCCUCAGCUUCAGGAUCUGUCCUUCCAGUGAGCACUCAGGGCUGAUUUCCUUCAAAAUGGAUAGGUUUGAUCUUCUUGCAGUCCACGGGACUCUCAAGAGUCUCCUCCAGCACCAUAAUUCAAA